rnacentral:rRNA from 1 species
CGCCUUGCCAGCCCGCUACAGAACUUAAAUGAAUUGACGGGGCCCGCACAAGCGGUGGAGCAUGUGGUUUAAUUCGACGCAACGCGAAGAACCUUACCAGGGCUUGACAUCCCCUGACCGCGUAUGAAAGUACGUUUUCACCCUCGGGUGACAGGGAGACAGGUGGUGCAUGGUUGUCGUCAGCUCGUGUCGUGAGAUGUUGGGUUAAGUCCCGCAACGAGCGCAACCCCUACGUUUAGUUGCUAACAGGUGAAGCUGAGCACUCUAGACGAACUGCCGUUGACAAAACGGAGGAAGGUGGGGAUGACGUCAAAUCAUCAUGCCCCUUAUGUUCUGGGCUACACACGUGCUACAAUGGCCGGUACAGACGGAGGCGAAGCCGCGAGGCGGAGCAAAUCCGAAAAAGCCGGUCUCAGUUCGGAUUGCAGGCUGCAAUUCGCCUGCAUGAAGUCGGAAUCGCUAGUAAUCGCAGGUCAGCAUACUGCGGUGAAUACGUUCCCGGGCCUU